AUAAAUAUUAUGGUUUAAAAAAUUUUUUUUAAAUUUAUUUUACAUAUAAAUUUUAGUAUGUAUUUUUAAUUAUUUAAAUAAUAAUUAAUUUAGUUUAGUAGUAAUUAUCAUUAAAAAUUUAAGAAAUUAAGAUUUAGUAAUAUUAAAAUUAAUAACAAAUUUUGUGCCAGCAGUUGCGGUUAUACAAAAAUUAAGUUAAAUUUUAUUAAUUAUUAAUAAAUAAUAUAUUUAAAUAUUAAUUAAAAUAUUAAAUUAUUAGGUGAAAUUUUUAUUUAAUUAAAAAUUAAUUAAAUAUUUUAUGAUUUAAUAAAUUUUAUAAUAAACUAGGAUUAGAUACCCUAUUAUUUAAAGUUUAAAUUUAAAUAUUAAAAUAGUAUGUAAUUAUUUAUUGAAACUUAAAUAAUUUGGCGGUAUUUUAGUUCAUUUAGAGGAAUCUGUUUAUUAAUUGAUAAUCCACGAAUAAUUUUACUUAAUUAAUAAUUUUGUAUAUCGUUGUUAAAAAAAUAUUUUUAAAUAAAUUUAAUAUUUAAGAAUUUUUAAUAAAAAUUAAAUCAGAUCAAGAUGCAGAUUAUAAUUAAGAAUAUAAUGGAUUACAAUAAAUAUAUUUAAAUGAAUAUUUAAUUGAAAUAUUAAUUUGAAAGUGGAUUUAAAUGUAAUUUUAAUUAAUUUUUUAAAAUGAUUAAAAAUUAAAAUAUGUACAUAUUGCCCGUCGCUUUCAUUUAUAAAUUGAAAUAAGUCGUAACAAAGUAGAGGUACUGGAAAGUGUUUCUAGAAAU
rnacentral:ncRNA from 1 species